rnacentral:rRNA from 1 species
UACGAACCGUGCGACCGUUGUUCGGAUUCACUGGGCUUAAAGGGCGCGUAGGCGGGGGAUCAAGUCCGGGGUGAAAUCCUUCAGCUCAACUGGAGAAUAGCCUUGGAUACUGGUCGCCUCGAGGGAGGUAGGGGCGGGCGGAACUUCCGGUGGAGCGGUGAAAUGCGUAGAUAUCGGAAGGAACGCCGGUGGCGAAAGCGGCCCGCUGGACCUCUUCUGACGCUGAGGCGCGAAAGCCAGGGGAGCGAACGGG